rnacentral:misc_RNA from 1 species
UUUCGAUGCCGAGUAUAUCAUAACGGUAUCCGUAGUACAAUCAUUUCAGUGUCUACGGCCCUUUGAUGCUUGUGGGGUAUCAAAAUUUCUUUGAUAAAAUUAUACGGAGAUUUGUAUUGAUGGGCGAAUUCGGCGCUACAAUGACGUAUAUUGCCGCAAUGUGUAAAUUCCUCGGCGGUAAAAUUCGCGUCUCAACAAGCAAAAUAUUCGAGAUUCACAUGUGAAAUAUCGGGGUUGGAUACGAUUUUGUGUUUGUUUUCGGUGUUUCGGUGGUAACGAUGGCCAGCUCUCCGACGAGUAUAGAGACACAAAUAGACAGCUUCUUGGAACAGUUCAAAAGGAGUGCCUCGAAGGCCAUGGAGGAGAGGAUGGAGUGGCCAGACGGCCCGUCUCCAGGCUCCAUGGUGAAAUCGCGUAGCAGCUGCUUCACGCUGGAUUCUUCUUCGGGUGAAGCGGAAUGCGAUGGCUGCGGCAGCGACAGCGAGGAUGGGCGCAGCGUCGGCGAGCUGCUGCUGCCGCAGUACGUGCUGGCCACGGGCGGGCUGGCGCGCGACCACCGCCCACUGGUCACCUUCCCCGACCACAACAACUUCCACAUGCUCUCCGCCGCCGAGUACCGCCGCUUGCUGCUCUAUCUCACCUCGGUGCCCUCGUUGUUAGAAGCAGAAAUGGGGUUUCACAUAAUAAUCGAUAGAAGAAAAGACAGGUGGAAUUCCGUUAAAACGGUGUUACUGCGAAUAUCGGAGUUUUUUCCGGGCAUGAUACACGCGGUGUACGUCCUCCGACCGGCGAGUUUCCUCCAAAAAGCGCUGUCUGAAGUUAGCAGCAAGCUGUUCAAGGAGGAGUUCCGAUUUCGAGUGCUGGUGUGCUCCAGUGUGGAGGAGUUGUACGAACACUUCGACCGCUCGCAGCUCACACCAGACCUCGGCGGCGAACUGCAGUACUCACAUUCGGAGUGGAUACAACAGCGAAUUGCUCUGGAGAAGUUCUCGACGUUGAUGAAGGAGAUAUCGAGCAAGCUGGACGACUUCAUGCGAGAAAUAGUGGACUGCGAUAUGGGGAACGAUCCCACACAAACCAAAGAAUUAUUAGAAUCACAAGAAUCUAGAUAUAAAGCUUUAAAAAGCGAGCUAUCGUCAGCGACGAGUCAGGGGGAAGAGUUGCUGUCGCAAGUGCGCAAACCAAAUCUUACUUAUAAUAUUAUUAGUCAUGUUGCUGCUGUUGAAAGGUUACUUGUACAACUAGAUGAGACUGAGAAACAAUUCGACAACUUUUGGCAGAAACAUUCCAUGAAAUUAAAUCAUUGGUUAAAAUUUAGGACAUUUUUAUUAAACUUUAAACAAAUGCAGGCUACUUUAGAUGGUCAUUUAAAGACAGCGUGUGAUAUGACUGAAGUUGGCGAAACGGCAAACAGGGUUGAAAGUCUUAUUGAAGAAGCUAAUGACUUUGAAAAACUGUGCAACUGUGAUCUCAAUUCAGCCUCGACAGUCAUAGACGAAGGCGAAGUAUUAAUGAAGGAUCCCUUGAGCUCUGUGGACCACAUAGAAUCAAAAUGCGAGGAAUUAAGACGAACGAGUUCAUUACUUAUAGAUAAAAUACAAAAACGAAAUAUGCUACUUACCAAAGCUAGAGAAUUAAUGGAUAGAAUAGAUAAGGCAAACGAGUGGUGUGCGACGGGUGUGGAGAUCCUAGCGGGGGAGGGGGGGCUGAUAGCCGUGGACAAGCUGCUGGAGGACGCCAAGAGCUUCGGGCUCACGGCGCCCGAGCAGUUCCGCGACAUGCUCAUGCAGUCCGCCACGCAGGAGACCAGGGCGCUGGUCACGCAGGUCUGCCAACGAGUGGAAGACGUUUGGUUGAUGGUGUCAGUGAAGCGAGCGUCGCUGGUACGCGCGGCGGCCAAACCAGCGCGACCGGUGCAGUCGGUGCCUCCUCACAGCGCAGCCUUACCUGUCACUAACAACAACCAGAUGGAGACGUCAGGAGGGUCAGAGAGUUCGGGCGGCGAGGACGCAGAGGCGCGGCGGUCGCGGCGCGGGCACGUGCUCGCCGAGCUGCUGCAGACUGAGAGGGUGUAUGUGCAGGAACUUGGCUCUAUACUUACGGGUUACAAAGAAGAAAUAGAGAAGCCGGAAAACCAACACAUUCUGCCGGCUGCUCUAGUGGGACAAGCUGACGUACUAUUCGGUAACCUACACGAACUUUUCACAUUCCAUCAAGAUGUGUUCCUGAAAGACUUGGAACGAUCGAUAUCCGCCACCGAACUCGUCGCUUUAUGUUUUGUUGAAAAAAGGGAGACAUUUUUCCGCCUAUACAGCUACUACUGUCAGAACAUCCCGCGGUCCGAGCGUCUUCGUGAGACGUUAGUAGACACGCAUCUCUUUCUGCAAGCGUGUCAACAACGCCUCGGCCACAAACUACCGCUCGCUGCUUACCUUCUCAAACCAGUGCAGAGGAUUACCAAAUAUCAACUAUUGCUUAAGGAUUUGCUCCGCUACAGCGAGUGCGGUUCCAUGAGCUCUGGUCUGCAGCAGGCACUGGACUGUAUGCUCGUCGUGCUCAAGUGUGUCAACGACUCCAUGCACCAGAUCGCUAUUACAGGCGUCCCUGUGGAUCUCAAUCAGCAAGGUGAACUGCUGCUACAGAGUUCAUUCAUGGUGGUGUCGGAGAACAAACGAGACCUGCGGCUCAGGAUACGGCCGCGACGACGGCAUAUAUUCCUCUACGAGAAAGCCAUGUUGUUCUGCAAGUCAGCCACCAAAAACAGUCACAACAAAGCCACGUACCACUUCAAACAUGAUCUCCAAAUGUCACAAAUCGGUCUCACAGAGUCAGUGAAGGGCGACCCCCGCAAGUUCGAGGUGUGGCGGCAGGGCAGGUCGGAGGUGCAUACCAUCACCGCGCCCACGGUGGAGGUGAAGCGCGCGUGGGUGGAGCGCAUCAAACGCGUGUUGCUCGACCAGCUCAACGAGCUCAAGGGGGAACGAGUGAGGCAAUACGGCGCGCAACACCACAGAACACUAAUACAAGCGAGCUCAUGGGACUUGGGUCCGGGCGGGGGUCCCACCGCGCGGGGCGUAACUGCGGCAGCGGGCGCGCGCGCAGCGUCCGUGGACGCGCACGAUGAGCCCUGCUGGUCCACCGACCCCUCCGACGACGACGAUGACGACACCGAACACGCGCCGGUGACGGAGGCCGUGGGUCUAAACGGUACCAUACACAGAAUGGUACAGUUCUUUUCAGUAUCGGGCUCCACGCAAGCCAACUCCACGUUUUACGUGUCACAGUACUGAAAACGCCUCUAACUCUAACAGUUGAGGCAUUGUAAAUACAAUGAAAUAAGAGACUGAUAUCAUUAUAUCCAAAGUUUGUAAAAUAACCAAAGACAACGGCGUAAACGUGGAUUUAAAUCAGUUGAAUGUAUACGCUGAACGUUAACUGUCGUGCGGUGGGAUGCGCGCUGGUGGCGCUGUCGGACUACACGGCGGUGGGCGCGAGCGAGGUGUCGCUGCGCGAGGGGCAGCACGCCGACC